AGCGAACGCUGGCGGCAGGCCUAACACAUGCAAGUCGAACGAAGUCUUCGGACUUAGUGGCGGACGGGUGAGUAACAUGUGGGAACGUGCCUUUAGGUUCGGAAUAACUCAGGGAAACUUGUGCUAAUACCGAAUGUGCCCUUCGGGGGAAAGAUUUAUCGCCUUUAGAGCGGCCCGCGUCUGAUUAGCUAGUUGGUGAGGUAAAGGCUCACCCAGGCUACGAUCAGUAGCUGGUCUGAGAGGGUGACCAGCCACAUUGGGACUGAGACACGGCCCAAACUCCUACGGGAGGCAGCAGUGGGGAAUCUUGCGCAAUGGGCGAAAGCCUGACGCAGCCAUGCCGCGUGGAUGAUGAAGGUCUUAGGAUUGUAAAAUCCUUUCACCGGUGAAGAUAAUGACUGUAGCCGGAGAAGAAGCCCCGGCUAACUUCGUGCCAGCCGCCUCCGUAAGAC
rnacentral:rRNA from 1 species